rnacentral:misc_RNA from 1 species
GAAGAACAUCAUUAUCCAUUUUUCUACAGUAUCAGGAGGGAUAGUUCAAGAAAGUACCAGAAUUUUCAUUUGCUUUUAUGAUAACGAUUUAAAAAUCCAGAAUCAUCUUCUAAAUCCUAUAUAUAUCCUUCCCACAUCUAUUGUGUUUCAUCGAGAACUGCAUUGAUCAAAGGAAAGUGAAGCUCUCUGAUUAGCUGAUCAUCUCUUUGAAGAUUUCAAUUUUCUUUCCAGGGUUACCUUCGAAAAAAAAUGGCAUCGUCCCUCAUUCCCAGCUUCUUUGGCAGCCGCAGGACCAAUGUGAUUGAUCCAUUUUCUCUGGACAUUUGGGAUCCUUCAGAUGGCUUCUUCACCUCUACACUUGCCAAUGCGCCAUCCUCAGCAAGGGAAACUUCAGCUUUCGUCAAUGCAAGAAUCGAUUGGAAAGAGACCCCAGAAGCCCACAUUUUCAAAGCAGAUGUUCCAGGGCUAAAGAAAGAGGAAGUGAAAGUGGAGGUAGAAGAAGGCAGAAUCCUCCAAAUCAGCGGAGAGAGGAACAAAGAGCAGGAGGAGAAGAAUGAUAAGUGGCACCGCAUUGAGAGGAGCAGUGGGAAAUUUUUAAGGAGGUUCAGGUUGCCUGAGAAUGCAAAAAUGGAUCAAAUUAAAGCUGCCAUGGAAAAUGGAGUGCUCACUGU